rnacentral:lncRNA from 1 species
CCAUUUUGGGUGUUUCAGUGGUGGUCUCAGCAGACCCUUAUGAGCACAAGUCUUCUCCACCACCACCAUAUGAGUACAAGUCUCCACCACCACCCUCACCUUCACCUCCACCAUAUGAAUAUAAGUCUCCUCCCCCACCACCAUAUGAGUACAAGUCUCCACCACCACCCUCUCCUUCACCACCACCAUAUGAGUACAAGUCUCCUCCCCCACCACCAUAUGAGUACAAGUCUCCACCACCACCCUCACCUUCACCUGCACCGUAUGAAUACAAGUCUCCUCCCCCACCACCAUAUGAAUAUAAAUCUCCUCCCCCACCACCAUAUGAGUACAAGUCUCCACCACCACCCUCUCCUUCACCUGCACCAUAUGAAUACAAGUCUCCUCCACCACCACCAUAUGAAUAUAAGUCUCCUCCCCCACCACCAUAUGAGUACAAGUCUCCACCACCACCCUCUCCUUCACCUCCACCAUAUGAGUACAAGUCUCCUCCCCCACCACCAUAUGAGUACAAGUCUCCACCACCACCCUCACCUUCACCUGCACCGUAUGAAUACAAGUCUCCUCCCCCACCACCAUAUGAAUAUAAGUCUCCUCCACCACCCUCUCCUUCACCUGCACCAUAUGAAUACAAGUCUCCUCCACCACCACCAUAUGAAUAUAAGUCUCCUCCUCCACCUUCACCCUCUCCACCACCACCAUAUGAGUACAAGUCUCCACCACCACCCUCUCCUUCACCUGCACCAUAUAAAUACAAGUCUCCUCCACCACCACCAUAUGAAUAUAAGUCUCCUCCUCCACCUUCACCUUCACCUGCACCAUAUAAAUACAAGUCUCCUCCACCACCACCAUAUGAAUAUAAGUCUCCUCCCCACCACCAUAUGAGUACAAGUCUCCACCACCACCCUCUCCUUCACCUGCACCAUAUAAAUACAAGUCUCCUCCCCCACCACCAUAUGAGUACAAGUCUCCACCACCACCCUCUCCUUCACCUGCACCAUAUAAAUACAAGUCUCCUCCACCACCACCAUAUGAAUAUAAGUCUCCUCCUCCACCUUCACCCUCUCCACCACCACCAUAUGAGUACAAGUCUCCACCACCACCCUCUCCUUCACCUGCACCAUAUAAAUACAAGUCUCCUCCACCACCACCAUAUGAAUAUAAGUCUCCUCCUCCACCUUCACCCUCUCCACUACCACCAUAUGAGUACAAGUCUCCACCACCACCCUCUCCUUCACCUGCACCAUAUGAGUACAAGUCUCCUCCCCCACCACCAUAUGAGUACAAGUCUCCACCACCACCCUCACCUUCACCUGCACCGUAUGAAUACAAGUCUCCUCCCCCACCACCAUAUGAAUAUAAGUCUCCACCACCGCCCUCUCCUUCACCUGCACCAUAUGAAUACAAGUCUCCUCCACCACCACCAAUGAAGCCUCCACAUCCACCAUACUACUAUAAUUCUCCACCACCACCAGUGAAGCCUCCACAUCCGCCAUACUACUAUAAUUCUCCGCCACCACCAGUUAAGCCACCACAUCCACCAUACUACUACACUUCUCCUCCACCACCACCAAUGAAGCCUCCACAUCCACCAUACUACUAUAAUUCUCCACCACCGCCAAUGAAGCCUCCACAUCCGCCAUACUACUAUAAUUCUCCACCACCACCAGUUAAGCCACCACAUCCACCAUACUACUACACUUCUCCUCCACCACCACCAAUGAAGCCUCCACAUCCACCAUACUACUAUAAUUCUCCACCACCGCCAAUGAAGCCUCCACAUCCGCCAUACUACUAUAAUUCUCCACCACCGCCCUCUCCUUCACCUGCACCAUAUGAAUACAAGUCUCCUCCACCACCACCAAUGAAGCCUCCACAUCCACCAUACUACUAUAAUUCUCCACCACCACCAGUGAAGCCUCCACAUCCGCCAUACUACUAUAAUUCUCCACCACCACCAGUGAAGC